rnacentral:rRNA from 1 species
GACGUAGGGCGCGAGCGUUGUCCGGAUUUAUUGGGCGUAAAGAGCUCGUAGGCGGCUUGUCGCGUCGAAUGUGAAAUCUCAGGGCUCAACUCUGACAUUGCAUUCGAUACGGGCAAGCUAGAAUUCGGUAGGGGAGACUGGAAUUCCUGGUGUAGCGGUGAAAUGCGCAGAUAUCAGGAGGAACACCGGUGGCGAAGGCGACUACCUGGCCUGUUCUUGACGCUGAGGCGCGAAAGCUAGGGGAGCAAACGGG